rnacentral:rRNA from 1 species
UACGGGGGGGGGCAAGCGUUGUUCGGAAUUACUGGGCGUAAAGGGCUCGUAGGCGGCCAACUAAGUCAGACGUGAAAAUCCCCUCGGCUUAACCGGGGAACUGCGUCUGAUACUGGAUGGCUUGAGUUUGGGAGAGGGAUGCGGAAUUCCAGGUGUAGCGGUGAAAUGCGCAGAUAUCGGGAGGAACACCAGCGGCGAAGGCGGCACUCUGGGCUGGAACUGACGCUGAGGAGACGGAAAGCGUGGGUAGCAAACGAGG